rnacentral:lncRNA from 1 species
CUAAAUUGGCCCUAGAUUAGUUUAAUUAUGUAUUUUUAUCAUAUAUUGCACUUAUAGGCGUAUUUGAGUUCAUUGUAGGUUUAUAUUGAUAAAGGCGAAGAAUUGAAGCCAUAAAAGUAGAACGGUGUAUGAAGAAAAGAAGGCUCAGAUUACAUUGAGCGUUCGAACGCCCAAGCAAAGGGGAAACCAGCGUUCGAACGCUGUGAAGAAAUCUGGGAAUUUUGUGAAGAACGUUCGAACGCCUGACCAAGAAGAAUUUGGGCGUCCGAACGCCAAGAGGAAAAUUGAUGAAGACCGUUCGAACGCCCCUGCUUACAGUUCGAAAAGUGCGAGAGUUGAAUUAGAGAGUUCGAACGCAUCUGCUUACAGUUCGAAAAAUGCGAGACUUAAAAGUUGG